GCUCUUAUAGUUCAGUGGUAGAGCAUCAGUCUUGUAAACUGAAGGUCCAUGCGUGGGGCA
rnacentral:tRNA from 1 species